GGUGGCUCAGUGGUAGAGUGCUUGCCUUGCAUGCAUGAUUCCCUGAGUUUGGUUCCUCAGCACCA
rnacentral:tRNA from 1 species